AAUGAGAGUUAAGCUAUGGGUAUGAAAAGGCAUGGACUUUGGAGACGUAGAAGGGGUAGGGUGGGUGGGGGUGAGGGAUUAAAAACUACGUAUUGGGCUUUCCGAGUCUCUGGCCCGCGGGCUUCAGGUGUGAGCUGCGCCCUCCGCUCUGAGGGUUUGUGGCCCACUGCUCCUUCGCUGUCCCUGCAGCCAUCGCUCACGCUCCGUGUUGCAAAGAUGCUGGGUCGGAACAGUGCCAUCGCCGCCGGUGUAUGUGGGACACUUUUUAUCGGGUACUGCAUCUACUUCGACGCAAAAGACGAAGUGACCCCAACUUUAAGAACAGGCUUCGAGAACAAAGAAAGAAACAGAAGCUUGCCAAGGAGACAGCUGGGCUUUCCAGGUUACCUGACCUUAAAGAUGCUGAAGCUGUUCAGAAAUUCUUCCUUGAAGAAAUACAACUUGGUGAAGAAUUACUAGCUCAAGGUGAAUAUGAGAAGGAAAUACACCAUCCGACGAAUGCAAUUGCUGUGUGUGGACAGCCGCAGCAGUUAUUACAGCAAACUCUUCCACCACCAGUGUUCCAGAUGCUUCUGACUAAGCUCCCAACGAUUAGUCAGAGAAUUGUAAGUGCUCAGCGCUUGGCUGAUGACGUGGAAUGAGAAAUAAGUAUCAACAUAAUAAAAUCUUAGUUAAAUAUUUUAAAAAUUCGUUGUAGUUGAACAGCUCUAGGGGAAUAAGGGCAAAUAUGCUUGUUAUGAACUACACUGAAAUCUACCAAAGUUAAUGUUUACUUUGUGUAGAUCCAUUUGUCUAUUUUAUUUAUUUUUCCCAGUGAAGAGUGUAUUUUGAUAGAGAGCUUUUCAUUUUAUAAAUACACUAUGAGUUACUGAAAAAUCAUGGAUUUCAUUUAUUCCUGAAACAUAAACUGUACAUAUGACAUGGCUUAUGUUAAAAAUACCCAGUGCUCAGUUUUGAAGGAUAGGCCAAAAA